AAGAAGGGAGAGGUGGCUCCCGCCGCUCCUCCUGCCCACAUCUACCCUCCACGUCAAUCACCCUCAUUAAUUCCCGCUGGAAAGGAUCACACAGGAGAAGUUCAUCAACUGCUGCUUGGAAAAGGCUGGAGGGCAGGGAAUGGUGUAGAGGGGGAAAGGGCUUGUCCUUGCUGGAGGGGAUUGGGGGCUCUGCUCCUCCUGACCUCCAAGGGGAGCUGAACUGAGCUGAGCUAUCCUUUCUAUCUUCUCAGACCAGUUUACCCCUUCUCUCCAGUGAAAACUCCACUCAACUUGUGAGCUGAUAUGCACCUGUCCUGGCCCCACCUUGGCUGAGAGGUGGCUCCCAAUCUCUGAGGGAGACAAGCCCUUCGCAGAAAGUGCCCAAGAAUUAAUGGGAAUGGGGAAGCUCAGUCCCACUCCUGGCUACUACCAGGCAACCCAAUAGGGCACUGCUUAGCUGCCCCGGGGUGUGGAGGUGCGGGUAGUGAUUCUGUGACUGUGGGAGACACAGGGGGAUCCAGAUGGAAGCACUGUUCCUGAAAACAAACCUAAGGAAACUUCUGGAGUCUUUGAAGGCUGAGCACCCAGCACGGCACCUGGCACACAGGCUAAAUGGUGGCACGUGGAAUAAAUGGAUGAGGUUUAAUGCUGAUUGGACCAUUAGCAUCUCCAGAGCUACAUGCCUCUCCCCUCGGUGGCUGUGGGUGUGGAGACUCAGCAAAGCCUGAAGAAUGAAAACAGUGGGCACUCAGAAAAGAGGAUGGCCAGGGAGCUGCUGCUUUGGAAGCUCAGUCCACAGAACCUAUCCCUCCGCUCUCCUGACCCUGGCCUGAAACUCCUCUACUUCAAAGUUAGAGCUGAUGUUUGUUCUGAGGGCCCUCCAACAUGCGCCAGGCGCCUUCCUGGACUCAGGGUAGCACUCCUGGGACGCAACGCACGCAGAGCCAAGACCAAGCCAUGGCUGGACUCCAAUCUCUACCCCUCUGUGGACCCAAAUUGACAGAGGCCGACCCUGCCCUCAAGGAGCAUUCAGAUUCAGGGGAAAGGCACAACCUUGCCCCCAAAGAGCCCCUGGUCUAAGAGAAAACUGAAACCCAUUUAAAGAACUCUAAGAUGACAGGACUUCCCUGGUGGUCCAGUGGCUAAGACUCUGGAGGAAGGGGACCGAGGUUGAUCCCUGGUCGGGGAACUAGAUCCCACAUGCCACAACUAAGACCCCAUGCAGCCAGAUAACUAAAUAUUUUUUUAAAAGAACACAAACAUGGGAAUCCAAAGGAAACUCUCCAACUGGAUCAAGAUGAGUGGAGGAUGAAUGAGGGUUGGGGAGAGAAGCACUGUGCGCUCAGAGCUUAGGCAGUAGCUGUCCUGACUUGAGGGCGCCCCUGUUCCUACAUGGGUCAGCUCACUCCUGGCUCCUCCAUCCGGAAGCUCAUUCCCUGACCCCCUCAUUCCCACAAUGCACUGCGCGGGGAGUUGUGCAAGGGUCAGGCGGCAGGGUGGCAGGCUGGCUGGAGAGGGGAGAUUGCUGUCUCCCUCCAACUCCCUGAGGCCUUCCCUCCUGCAGCCCGGCCUCUGUGCAGCAAGCACCCUCCUCCGCGGUUGUUGUCGGCUGUCUGGCCUGAGGCUUCCCCUCCCUCCCCCACACCUUCCUGCCCAAGAACAGCGGCCAGAGGCCUAAACAGGAGAAAGCCAGAGGCCUAAGACAGGAGAAAGCCAGAGGCAAGAGCGGGCUGAGGCAUGGCUGAGUCCACAAGAGCAAGAAGAGAGUCAAAUGUCCCCUGGACAGAGCCUUGUGCUGGGAGGUUUCCUGCCUGAGAUGGGCAUCAGUAAGCACCCAACAAAUAUAGCAGGACUUAGCCCCAGGCUCAGAGACGCCCAAGGUGGACUCUAGAUUUAAAACUAUGAAAAUCAGAGGGUCCUGGAGAGAGAUGUGAGUGAGUGGUUUUAUAACACUCCCAGCCAUCUCCACCUGUAACUGCCUACCUUGGAAG
ensembl:lncRNA